rnacentral:rRNA from 1 species
CUACGGGAGGCUGCAGUGAGGAAUAUUGCACAAUGGGGGAAGCCCUGAUGCAGCAACGCCGCGUGGAGGAUGACGCAUUUCGGUGUGUAAACUCCUUUUAUAUGAGAAGAAAAUGACGGUAUCAUAUGAAUAAGCACCGGCUAACUCCGUGCCAGCAGCCGCGGUAAUACGGAGGGUGCAAGCGUUACUCGGAAUCACUGGGCGUAAAGGACGCGUAGGCGGGUUAUUAAGUCAGGUGUGAAAUCCUAUGGCUCAACCAUAGAACUGCACUUGAAACUGGUAACCUAGAGUACUGAAGGGGAUGAUGGAAUUAGUAGUGUAGGGGUAAAAUCCGUAGAUAUUACUAGGAAUACCGAAAGCGAAGGCGAUCAUCUGGGAAGUUACUGACGCUGAGGCGUGAAAGCGUGGGGAGCAAACAGGAUUAGAUACCCCGGUAGUC